ACUUCAGACAGCACUGUAUCCCAGCAUGCAUCUCUGCUCACUCAGACCACACCCCCAUGAGUAGGAUGCAACACUCUAGUGAUGGAGAUGUAGAGUUUUAUAAGUAACGAGGGAGCAGACUAAGGUGAUUAGACACACAAUGGAAUGUCAAGUCUGUAAAUCUUUAAGCCAUGAAGAUGGUUGGAUAGUUCAGGAAUUGGGCUUCUUUUUAUUAAGGGCAGUCCUUUCACUCAGAUGCCCACUUCUCACUGGAGCUGUACAUGUGUUGGCUGGCUGGCAUGAUUUGCUGUUGGUGAUGAGGCGGUCAGGGUGACGUUGCAGGGCUAUGGUCGGCUCUCUGUGAGCUCAACAUUUAGAUUUGCACCCUGAAUAAUCUAGAUAAUUGUAAAAUGUAGACACGGUUUUGUAUUGAAUGAUUUUAGGUUUAAAGUUGUUGUGGGACGUACAUGGUAGUUUGGUUCUUCGUAUGGUUUUGAGUGAUAUAACUUGUACACACUGGGUGCAUAAUAAUGUAAAGGUACACUGAAUUUUAUUAAUGACCAACAGCAACAAACAGAUCUCCUCAAGGUAAGUCUGUUGGCUGUGUUUUAAUGAAGACCAUCGCUGGACUUCAGGAUCUUCCCCCGUUCAGCUCAAGGUGAGGCGCUGGUUAUGUUUUUUCUUUGGUUGGUUCCGGCCGGAAUGUUCGUAUUCCAGUCGGACGGUUUGUGCUUCCCGCCGUGGAAGGUUCUGAGUGCGGUCACUUGAUUUAGUCCCAAUGGUUAGCAUAGAACGUUGUAGUCUUGACAACCAUAAGAAACCAGCUGGCAGUUAGUUUGACGGGAGGCCCCUGAGGGAAUCUGGCGGAACGUUCUGGAUUGUAUUUGAGUAACCUCGAGGCGUUGCCAACGGAAACAAUUUUUCAGUCGGUUUCCAUUUGGAAUGGUUGCCCCUAUCUUAAACAACUAAAGUUUGAUAUUAAAUACAUACUGAGACGUACGUCGUACAAUAUGUUGAUAAUUUCCGAUGGUUGCGCCGUACUUUUAACCACGUUGACGUUGCGGGACUCUCACUGCGUACAAAACAGCGUUCUACUUGCGGGCCCAUUUUUGACAUCAGGAAAGGCUGAAAAUCAUUUCAAGGUGGAACAUAAUUUAACAUUUCUUCAACGGAACCCAGCACCUGAAUAUGGCUGAGUAUAUUUGAUUUAAUAUCGUUACUGCUUAGUGUUCUUUGUUACUUCAGCUUGUGUACGUUCUAAAUAUCUGCUGUCAUUAAUUGCCACAGAAGUUAAACCCUACCCAAUGGAAUGACGUUAAACAGCGACUUUGGUGCAGAGUUACCAACUGGAUAAUAUCAAAGCUAAAAUAAUGGCCGUCAUUCCCACGUGUUACAGUAGAAGAUACUCUAGAACUGUACAAGGUUAAAAAGGUAACGUGUAGUUUGUCCCAAGGUGUCUGCCUCCUCACCCAGAGCAAGACCUCCACCUCCUCACCCAGAGCCAGACCUCCACCUCCUCACCCAGAGCCAGACCUCCACCUCCUCACCCAGAGCCAGACCUCCACCUCCUGUCAGAAGUCCUCCAGAACAGCUGAAAGGUGAGGCUGAGAGGCUGGGGACCGGAGGCUUGUGGUGCCAGGAUGGGACUGAGGCUGGAGACCAGGGGCCUGCAGCACCGGACCAGAGGACCAGGAAUCCAUGGCUGAAGGAGCUGAUGGAGGAGCCGUGCUGAAGGCCCUGCCUGGUGGAGGAGCUGAUGGAGGCCCUGCCUGGUGGAGGAGCUGAUGGAGGCCCUGCCUUGUGGAGGAUGUCUGUCGUGGGAACUGGACUCUGUCUGAGGAGAGCUGCUGGAGGAGCUGAGACGCUGGAGGACGACUAGGAAUCGACCAACAAGGAUUCCUCAACGCGUUUCUGGAGCGGAGGCGAGCUGAUAGGGGAGCCGUGAAUCUGGAGGAUGACCAUCACUCUACCAACAAGGACUACGUUGGAGCCUGACUUGCGCUGUUGGUUCCAGACCAGGACUCUGGCUGAGGAGAGCUGAUGGAGGAGCCGAGACUCUGGAGGACGACAUCACUCCACCAACAAGGAUCCUCACCAGGAAUCUGGAGGACUGACGGAGAAGCUGUACAUCUGGCAGGCAAAUCCUGAGGACGACCAGGACUCUACCAUCAAGGAUUCCUUACACACCUGAGCUGAACCUCACCUGAUCCUGUUUGGUCGUGGAUAGACGGACCUGAGCUGAACCCGCCCGCCCUGAUCCUGACAUCCUGCUGGUCCCGUCUCCUCAGUUCAUCUGAGCCUCGUCCUCCAGAAGACCUGCUGAGCUCAGCAGUCUGAGGCUGAUGGAUCAAUGACCUCCAGUGGGAGUGAUCUUCUUGACCCCACAUACCAGGACUCUGUCUGAGGAGAGCUGCUGGAGGAGCUGAGACGCUGGAGGACAACUAGGAAUCGACCAACACGGAUUCCUCAACGCGUUUCUGGAGCGGAGGCGAGCUGAUAGGGGAGCCGUGAAUCUGGAGGAUGACCAUCACUCUACCAACAAGGACUACGUUGGAGCCUGACUUGCGCUGUUGGUUCCAGACCAGGACUCUCUGAGGAGGCUGAGGAGAGCUGAUGGAGGAGCCAGGACGACAUCACUCUACCAACAAGGAUCCUCAGACAAAUUAUAUUUGUAACCAGACCAGGAAUCUGGAGGACUGAUGAAGAAGCCGUACAUCUGGAAGGCAAAUCCUGAGGACGACCAGGACUCUACCAUCAAGGAUUCCUCACACACCUGAGCUGAACCUCACCUGAUCCUGUUGGGUCGGGGGCAGACAGACCUGAGCUGAACCCCACCUGAUCCUGACAUCCUGCUGGUCCCGUCUCCUCAGUUCAUCUGAGCCUCGUCCUCCAGAAGACCUGCUGAGCUCAGCGGUCUGAGGCUGAUGGAUCAAUGACCUCCAGUGGGAGUGAUCUUCUUGACCCCACAUGUACCCGUGUGCUUCCACACGCCUUUCCCUCACGUCUGUCACUAACCUCACUACUACACUACUCUCUACUCCUUCCCCUUCUUCUUCCUUCUCCGUGGUUCGAACCUUUACUCUGAAGGAGUGUCUUCUUGAACCUUUACACUGAAGGCGUGUCUUCCUGCCCUCAGAGGGUUCAGCGUUAGGGUUGAGAGUCAGGGUUUAGAGUCAGGGACAGAGUUGGUCAGGGAGGGCUGGUUUUACACAAACGUCUUCUCUUGCUUUCUGAAUGACGUUUUGAAAAGAUUCAUCUCGGAAAAUGUUUUCCUCUGCUUUCCUUUACAAAAUAUGUAUUCAACUUCUGUCAAUGUUUUUGUUUAUAUAUUAAAAUCACAC